GCAUGAUCUAGCUUGCUAGAUUGAUGGCGAGUGGCGAACGGGUGAGUAAUACAUCGGAACGUGCCCUGUAGUGGGGGAUAACUAGUCGAAAGAUUAGCUAAUACCGCAUACGACCUGAGGGUGAAAGUGGGGGACCGCAAGGCCUCAUGCUAUAGGAGCGGCCGAUGUCUGAUUAGCUAGUUGGUGAGGUAAAGGCUCACCAAGGCGACGAUCAAUAGCUGGUCUGAGAGGAAGAACAGCCACACUGGGACUGACUCAAAGACCAUACUCCCACGUGAGGCAGCAGUGGGGAUUUUGGACAAUGGGCGAAAGCCUGAUCCAGCAAUGCCGCGUGUGUGAAGAAGGCCUUUCGGGUUGUAAAGCACUUUUGUCCGGAAAGAAAUGGCUCUGGUUAAUACCUGGGGUCGAUGACGGUACCGGAAGAAUAAGGACCGGCUAACUACGUGCCAGCAGCCGCGGUAAUACGUAGGGUCCAAGCGUUAAUCGGAAUUACUGGGCGUAAAGCGUGCGCAGGCGGUUGUGCAAGACCGAUGUGAAAUCCCCGAGCUUAACUUGGGAAUUGCAUUGGUGACUGCACGGCUAGAGUGUGUCAGAGGGGGGUAGAAUUCCACGUGUAGCAGUGAAAUGCGUAGAGAUGUGGAGGAAUACCGAUGGCGAAGGCAGCCCCCUGGGAUAACACUGACGCUCAUGCACGAAAGCGUGGGGAGCAAACAGGAUUAGAUACCCUGGUAGUCCACGCCCUAAACGAUGUCAACUAGUUGUUGGGGAUUCAUUUCCUUAGUAACGUAGCUAACGCGUGAAGUUGACCGCCUGGGGAGUACGGUCGCAAGAUUAAAACUCAAAGGAAUUGACGGGGACCCGCACAAGCGGUGGAUGAUGUGGAUUAAUUCGAUGCAACGCGAAAAACCUUACCUACCCUUGACAUGCCACUAACGAAGCAGAGAUGCAUUAGGUGCUCGAAAGAGAAAGUGGACACAGGUGCUGCAUGGCUGUCGUCAGCUCGUGUCGUGAGAUGUUGGGUUAAGUCCCGCAACGAGCGCAACCCUUGUCUCUAGUUGCUACGAAAGGGCACUCUAGAGAGACUGCCGGUGACAAACCGGAGGAAGGUGGGGAUGACGUCAAGUCCUCAUGGCCCUUAUGGGUAGGGCUUCACACGUCAUACAAUGGUGCAUACAGAGGGUUGCCAAGCCGCGAGGUGGAGCUAAUCCCAGAAAAUGCAUCGUAGUCCGGAUCGUAGUCUGCAACUCGACUACGUGAAGCUGGAAUCG
rnacentral:rRNA from 1 species